rnacentral:rRNA from 1 species
GACGAACGCUGGCGGCGUGCUUAACACAUGCAAGUCGAACGGAAAGGCCUGCUUUCCCUUGUGGAUUGCGGGUACUCGAGUGGCGAACGGGUGAGUAACACGUGAGUGAUCUGCCCCCAACUUGGGUAUAAGCCUGGGAAACUGGGUCUAAUUCCCGAUAGGACUGCAGGGUGGUGCCUGUGGUGGAAAACGAUUUUCUAGUGGUUGGGGAUGAGCUCGCGGCCUAUCAGCUUGUUGGUGGGGUAAUGGCCUACCAAGGCGGCGACGGGUAGCCGGCCUGGGGGGGUGGACGGCCAAAUGGGACUGAGAUACGGCCCAGACUCCUACGGGAGGCAGCAGUGGGGAAUAUUGCACAAUGGGCGGAAGCCUGAUGCAGCGACGCCGCGUGGGGGAUGACGGCCUUCGGGUUGUAAACUCCUUUCGACCGCGAGGAAGCCACCUGGUUGGAAGGGUGGUGACGGUAGUGGUAGAAGAAGCACCGGCUAACUACGUG